GGCCUCGUGGCCCAAUGGCAAGGCGUUUGACUACGAGAAAAAGAUUCCGGAUUAUCGGUUCUUUGACGAAAUCAAGAGAUUCUGGGUUCGACCCCCAGCGAGGUCA